GGCCAGACUCCUACGGGAGGCAGCAGUGGGGGAUAUUGCACAAUGGGGGAAACCCUGAUGCAGCGACGCCGCGUGAAGGAAGAAGUAUUUCGGUAUGUAAACUUCUAUCAGCAGGGAAGAAAAUGACGGUACCUGACUAAGAAGCCCCGGCUAACUACGUGCCAGCAGCCGCGGUAAUACGUAGGGGGCAAGCGUUAUCCGGAUUUACUGGGUGUAAAGGGAGCGUAGGCGGUUUAGCAAGUCAGAAGUGAAAGCCCGGGGCUCAACUCCGGGACUGCUUUUGGAACUGCGCGGCUGGAGUGCAGGAGGGGCAGGCGGAAUUCCUGGUGUAGCGGUGAAAUGCGUAGAUAUCAGGAGGAACACCGGUGGCGAAGGCGGCCUGCUGGACUGCGACUGACGUUGAGGCCCGAAAGCGUGGGGAGCAAACAGGAUUAGAUACCCUGGUACA
rnacentral:rRNA from 1 species